GACGAACGCUGGCGGCGUGGAUUAGGCAUGCAAGUCGAACGGUAUCAUCCUUUCGGGGGUGAGAGAGUGGCGAACUGGUGAGUAACACGUAGGUUAUCUACCCUCAAGACGGGGACAACCCAGGGAAACUUGGGCUAAUACCGGAUGUGAGCAACUUUUUAGUUGUUUGAAAGGUGGCGUAAGCUGUCGCUUGGGGAUGAGCCUGCGUCCUAUUAGUUAGUUGGUGAGGUAACGGCUCACCUAGGCAAUGAUAGGUAGGCGGCCUUAACGGGUGGUCGCCCACACUGGGAUUGAGAUACGGCCCAGACUCCUACGGGAGGCAGCAGUCGAGAAUAGUCUACAAUGGUCGGAAGACUGAUAGUGCGACGCCGCGUGAACGAUGAAUCCCUUCGGGGUGUAAAGUUCUUUUAUAUGUGAGCAGUGCUUCUUAUAUUAACAGUAUGGGGAAGAGAUAUUAGCAUAUAGAAUAAGCAACGGCUAACUCCGUGCCAGCAGCCGCGGUAAUCUUCG
rnacentral:rRNA from 1 species